rnacentral:pre_miRNA from 1 species
GAUUUCAACUGAAAAAGUCAUCAAUAACAAAAUUAUAUAACUCAUCAAGAUCUAUAACUUCUAUUUUGGUCAUUUCUUCAUCCGACAAAGUGAUUUGUAAGAUUGUUCAUAAAAUGUACAUCUCUUAUAUAAUCUUGUAAAAACUAUAUAAGAAAUGUAUAUUUUGUGAACAAUCUUAUAAAUUACUUUGUCGGAUGAAAAAAUGGCCAAAAUAAAAGUUAUAGAUCUUGAUGAGUUAUACAACUUUGUUAUUGAUGACUUUUUCAAAUGAAAUC